GUGUCUCCAACUAUGAAAAUGAUUUUUUCUGGAGCAGUCCAGCUAUAAACCCCUGGUAAACCUUAUAAUUUUGCCAGAACCAGUUUCACACACAACAUUUACAAAGCUGGUGGUUCUAUAAAAAAUAAAGAAAAGAAUAAAUUUUAAAGUUGCCAACGACUAAAAAGGCAAUUUCUUGACAUAAGCCUCUUUUAUCAUUAAGGGACUAUUAUACUACAUAGGAAAAAGCAGUAUUUGUGAAUCAGAUAACAUUUAAUACAAAAGUCACAUUCAUAUCUAAAAACAGGUAACGUGACACCAGGUUUUUAAACAGUUGAUGAACCUAUUGAACCUCGGAUUUAGUUGAUGAACCUAUUGUCUACUGUUGAAACAUGAUUUGAUUCAGUAAAUUUUUAUUAUUUGAAUUUUACUGUAUUAUUCAUUAGUCAACAGUUAGCGAGAAACUGGAGUUCUACGUAAUUGAGAUUAAUUGAUGAACAUUCCAAUCGUCACCGAAAAUCGAAUUUUCCUGUUUGUUGCAGGAGUAUGAUAGACUUAAAGAAGCAGUUCAUAUCUAAACGACACAAACUGUCAAAAGCAAAAGAAAUAAAGAAUAAAAGAGUUUUAUAGCGACAGAACUUAUUUUAAUUAAAUAAAUGUUCAAAACAUUAG